GUGCCAGCCGCCGCGGUAAGACGGAGGGUGCAAGCGUUAUUCGGAUUUAUUGGGCGUAAAGAGCGUGUAGGCGGCCGGUCAAGCCAGAUGUGAAAGCCCAGGGCUUAACCCUGGAAGUGCAUUUGGAACUGGUUGGCUUGAGUUCGGGAGAGGGAAGUGGAAUUCCGGGUGUAGAGGUGAAAUUCGUAGAUAUCCGGAGGAACACCGGUGGCGAAGGCGACUUCCUGGACCGAAACUGACGCUGAGACGCGAAAGCGUGGGGAGCAAACAGGAUUAGAAACCCCCGUAGUCC
rnacentral:rRNA from 1 species